rnacentral:rRNA from 1 species
AUGAACGCUGGCGGCGUGCCUAAUACAUGCAAGUCGAGCGAACGGACGAGAAGCUUGCUUCUCUGAUGUUAGCGGCGGACGGGUGAGUAACACGUGGAUAACCUACCUAUAAGACUGGGAUAACUUCGGGAAACCGGAGCUAAUACCGGAUAAUAUUUUGAACCGCAUGGUUCAAAAGUGAAAGACGGUCUUGCUGUCACUUAUAGAUGGAUCCGCGCUGCAUUAGCUAGUUGGUAAGGUAACGGCUUACCAAGGCAACGACGCAUAGCCGACCUGAGAGGGUGAUCGGCCACACUGGAACUGAGACACGGUCCAGACUCCUACGGGAGGCAGCAGUAGGGAAUCUUCCGCAAUGGGCGAAAGCCUGACGGAGCAACGCCGCGUGAGUGAUGAAGGUCUUCGGAUCGUAAAACUCUGUUAUUAUGGAAGAACAUAUGUGUAAGUAACUGUGCACAUCUUGACGGUACCUAAUCAGAAAGCCACGGCUAACUACGUG